rnacentral:piRNA from 1 species
UGGAUGCAUAUGAUAGCAUGGUUUACCUCA